UUUUAUAUGAGAGUUUGAUCCUGGCUCAGGAUGAACGCCGGCGGUGUGCCUAAUACAUGCAAGUCGAACGCGUUGGCCCAGCUGAUUGAACGUGCUUGCACGGACUUGACGUUGGUUUACCAGCGAGUGGCGGACGGGUGAGUAACACGUAGGUAACCUGCCCCAAAGCGGGGGAUAACAUUUGGAAACA
rnacentral:rRNA from 1 species